ACACUCCUACGGGAGGCAGCAGUGGGGAAUAUUGCACAAUGGGCGCAAGCCUGAUGCAGCCAUGCCGCGUGUAUGAAGAAGGCCUUCGGGUUGUAAAGUACUUUCAGCGGGGAGGAAGGCGAUAAGGUUAAUAACCUUGUCGAUUGACGUUACCCGCAGAAGAAGCACCGGCUAACUCCGUGCCAGCAGCCGCGGUAAUACGGAGGGUGCAAGCGUUAAUCGGAAUUACUGGGCGUAAAGCGCACGCAGGCGGUCUGUCAAGUCGGAUGUGAAAUCCCCAGGCUCAACCUGGGAACUGCAUUCGAAACUGGCAGGCUAGAGUCUUGUAGAGGGGGGUAGAAUUCCAGGUGUAGCGGUGAAAUGCGUAGAGAUCUGGAGGAAUACCGGUGGCGAAGGCGGCCCCCUGGACAAAGACUGACGCUCAGGUGCGAAAGCGUGGGGAGCAAACAGGAUUAGAAACCCCGGUAGUCCCAUG
rnacentral:rRNA from 1 species